CGGAGGGUGCAAGCGUUAUCCGGAUUCACUGGGUUUAAAGGGUGCGUAGGCGGACAGGUAAGUCAGUGGUGAAAUCUCUGGGCUUAACCCAGAAACUGCCGUUGAUACUAUUUGUCUUGAAUAUCCUGGAGGUAGGCGGAAUAUGUCAUGUAGCGGUGAAAUGCUUAGAUAUGACAUAGAACACCGAUAGCGAAGGCAGCUUACUACAGGAUAAUUGACGCUGAGGCACGAAAGCGUGGGGAGCAAACAGGAUUAGAUACCCUGGUAGUCCACGCCCUAAACUAUGGAUACUCGACAUCAGCGAUACACUGUUGGUGUCUGAGCGAAAGCAUUAAGUAUCCCACCUGGGAAGUACGACCGCAAGGUUG
rnacentral:rRNA from 1 species